rnacentral:tRNA from 1 species
GGGAAGGUAGCUUAGAGGUAGAGUGCUUGCCUUGCAUGCAUGAAGCCCUGGGUUCAAUUCCUCAGCACCA